rnacentral:rRNA from 1 species
UACGUAGGGGGCAAGCGUUGUCCGGAUUUAUUGGGCGUAAAGCGCGUGUAGGCGGCUUUGCAAGUCGGGUGUGAAAGCCCUCAGCUCAACUGAGGAAGUGCGCCCGAAACUGCAGAGCUUGAGUGCCGGAGAGGGUGGCGGAAUUCCCCAAGUAGAGGUGAAAUUCGUAGAUAUGGGGAGGAACACCGGUGGCGAAGGCGGCCACCUGGACGGUAACUGACGCUGAGACGCGAAAGCGUGGGGAGCAAACGGG